rnacentral:lncRNA from 1 species
GCGCUGGGGGCACGCGGCGCCCGCCCGGGGUGUCCGGGCGGCCCAGCGCCGGGCCUCCGCCCUCGGGCGCAGCGCGCAGCGUCGGGCUCCCUCCGAGCCUCCGCCCGGGCCGCCCGCGCCGAGCGCCCGGCCGCCGCCCUCUCCGCCUUUCCCCGCGUCCCCCGCCAGCCCGCCCUCGGGAUCUCAGCGCUCCGCUGCGCUCGGGCCGCAGGUGCCCCGCGGCGCGCCGGCCUGCUGGGGUCACGUGCUUCCCGGGCCCCGCAGGUCGCGGACCCCUCGCGCGCUGCCCGGGGCUCCAACGUGCCACGUGAAGCGCUCCCGCUCCGCUGCCCCGGGGCGCACGCCGCGCGGGCCGGGUCAUGUGUCUUUCCCGGGAGGUCCCGGUGAGCCGCCGCCCCUGGGCGCCUCGUGCCGCCGCGGGGCAGGGACCGCAGGCGCCCGGCGGCGUCAACUUCCUAGGACGGCACGUGCCAUGCCAGGUGCCUUUCCCUCCAAGUCCCAGAGUCCGCGAGGCCCAGCUGCCCGCACCCCCGGCCGACGCGGGGCACUCGGACUGGGCCCUGGGGUCCUGAGCCGCCUGAGAGCGACGCCUCGCCUCGGAAUGGGCCAGGCAGCGUAGCUGUUUGCCAUAAGACUGCUCUCUCUGGCUUUGUCGCCAAGCAUCGCCCCUCGUCCCCCUCCCCACCCCCUACCUCAUUUACAGCUGGGUGGCAUGUCCAUUGAAACACAUGUCAUAUGGAGACUAUGAAACGGGAACCCAAGGACUGGCUUAGGAAGCUGGCGGUUGCUGAGCAAGCCCUGGCCACUCUGGGCUGGCGGCACAAAGCUGUAGGUCUGGAUUCUAGUCAUCGGUGGCCUGGCGGUUGUCCGUCCGCACAGCAGUGUGCAGGCUGUGUGUGUGUCUCCUCUUUGGCAUGCUGAGCAGCUUGACAAUAGGGCCUCUUUCUUGCCUUUCCGAGGAUUUCCUCCGCACAGGACUAGACAUUUGGGGCUCACCAACGCCUGCUGAAUGGAUGAACCAAAGACGACAUGCAGCAGCCAAAUUCUGGAGCCGCAGCAAGCUGGGAGGCGCUCAACAGUUCAGACCUACUGGUGUGGGCUCAACCACCUUCUCUUGAUUCAAGUCAACACACUAGUGAUCGUGAACCUUGCGAAGGGCCCAGAUCUGAGGCCUGGAGCGGAGAGGUGGGGGCAGUGAAACCAAACGACUAUAAAUUUAACUUCUCUGUGAGCUGUCCCACUCCUACUUUAUAUUCAAGGAGCAAUUAUACUAGAGUGCAACCAGCUGCUCAGUCAGACCUUGUGAAAUAAAACGAAGUUGGC